rnacentral:rRNA from 1 species
UACGUAGGGUGCGAGCGUUGUCCGGAAUUAUUGGGCGUAAAGAGCUCGUAGGCGGUCUGUCACGUCGAAUGUGAAAACCCGGGGCUCAACUCCGGGCUUGCAUUCGAUACGGGCAGGCUAGAGUUCGGUAGGGGAGUCUGGAAUUCCUGGUGUAGCGGUGAAAUGCGCAGAUAUCAGGAGGAACACCGGUGGCGAAGGCGGGACUCUGGGCCGAUACUGACGCUGAGGAGCGAAAGCGUGGGGAGCGAACAGG